AAGCUUAUUUGUAGCUUUACAGUUACAGUCUAGUGUCAUAGUAUUACAGUAUAUGUUUACAGCUAUAAAUAAUGAAAUUGUUUACAUCAAAGACUUCAAUUGUUCCUGACAUGUCAGACGCGUGUUCCUCACGACGAUGGCGCACACCCACCUGUGCUUUUCGAGCAAAGGCGGCGCCGGUACUCCCCGAGAGCCCAGAUGGGGAACAGGUUGCGGUAGUUGGGGUAAUUGAAGAAAAGGGAGCAGUUGAGGCAUCCGACGUGUUCCUAUCAUCGAAACGCAAGCAUAGUCAGGUUAGCCAGCAUGUAUAAUCUGAUCUUAAUACACGAUAUAAUAUGACUUUUAUGGAGUAUAUCAACACCGAAUUCUACCAGUUAAGUUUAUUCAUGAAAAAGUAAUGUUGCAAGCACAAAUGAAAAGGGAACUUACUUGCUGUGGAAAUUCUCCUGUAUCCAUCUGCAUAUUGAUCAACUCCUUUGCAGCACGGUGAAGUGGUGUUGGAUCUCGUUCCAUGUGGUAUUCAGUAAGGGAAUCAGGUAAGUUUGAUAAAACAGUGUAUUCCUGUCACGGUUGAAUUGAACAAUGUACAAAACAUACCUGUCCAGCAUAUAUUAAGGUCAACAUUGCCCAAGCAGUAUUCACUGCGUGAGCACGGUCACCUUCAAUGUUGACAUAUACCUGUUUAAUUUUAGAUCACAGUAAAUAUAGGUAGAAACAAAAAACUCAAAAUUUUAUUAAAUAGAAUUACAAUGGGAGAAACACUUGUUUCUUAUGAAAUGGAUUGAGAACGUCCUAAUAAGAGAAUGUCCAAAUAUCGCUAACUGAUUUGAUUCGCUGCUAAGAAGCAGAUUUUCAUCAUAUUGCAUCUUUUAUAUGUUAGAAUUUGCAAGCAAUGCUUCCAAUAAACGAGAAACCAUAAGAAAUAGUAUCUAGAUGUUUACCUUUGUUUCAUUAGAUACAUGACUUUCUCCCCAUCCACCAGUACUGAGCUGCUUUGAUAAUAUGAAGUGGCAUCCUUUCCUGAUGGAAGAACUGCUCUCGUAUGUUCUUCCUGCAGCAGCUAAUGCUUUAACUGAAAAGAAGGCCCCAUAGGUGAAACACCCCCCCCCCCAAGUGCCUAACCUGCGAAAGUAAUAAUUGCGUUAUAAAUUGUUGUAGUAGAAGUAAAGUUUUCUAUAAGGCAAGUCAGGAAAUGUAGCCUUCUGACGUGCCAUGAACCGUCUUCUCCUUGUCUGCUCUCAAUGAAUGUUGCUGCAUCUCUGAUACACUUUUCUAUCUCCUGAGUAUGGUAACCAUAAUGUAGUUCUUUGAACAGAAUAAGAGCUUGAAGCACCGAGGAAGUGCAUUCAGGAUAUCUGUCAUGUUUUACCAUACGCCAUUAGUUUCUCAAGCUAAAACAAAACGGGUUUUGAGAAGAUUUUUCUAAUCAAUAUGUUAUUUUCAUCACUUACGGAUGAUCAACAAUCAUGUUUGGAAAACUCUCACAAGGAUUGAGGAUCUGGAUUACCAAAAGCAGAAAACCAUGUAAGAGCAUGGCUAAAAAAACUUGGAAUAUGAGUUUUGUUGCGCUAAUUCUGGAAAUAUUAGACUAUUAAAACAUAUAGGAGUCAACAAAUAAUUAAGAUUUAAACAUUUUCACAAUCAUAUAUUACUGAUGCAUUUAAAUCCUGAGAUGCAAAUAUCUCAAUACUAAAAAAAACAUGAAAAAUAUAAUUAACCAGUAAUGAGAUAAAAAUAUGGUAAAUUGAAGAUAUCAUAUUAUAUAUGUAAAAAACAACAAUUGAGCACUCACAAAUAUUAAUGGUUGACGCUCAGCUUAAUAAACUAGACAAGAGUAGCAGCCUGCAAAAACUCACCUCUAUCCAAGUAGAAGUUCUUUUACACUCGUAUGUAGAAAAGGUCCCACCUUUGUUCUACAAUGAAAAAUGAUUCGCUAUUAACCAGGUGAUGUUCACAGCUUACAACAAUCGAACAAAAAUAGCAAAGAUUUAAAUAUCUGAGACAUGCAUGGCGUAGUUUGACAUCAAUGCUAAAUCUACUGACUGACUGACUAAAGGUGCUGGAAAAUUGAGCAAAAAGUAUGAAUGUUGACUUCACCACAUUCAUAAACUAAAGUUGGCAAAACAUUUCAGAUACAUUUUUCCAUUGUAAGUUUGGCAGGAAAGAUCCACAUUCAUAGAAAUAUGAAUGAAUGCUUGAAUUUUCUUUUGAGAAUUCAUACCACAAAAGAUAAAAGGCAAUCAACAGCAUCAUGCACCCUUUCUUUUUCUAUUGGGCCGUCAACAAUGUUCCUAGAGAUCUUCGAGAGCAGCAGUACGACCUGAAAAUUAAAUAAUGUAAGGUUUCUUGUAUAGGCAAACAAAAAUAAUACAGGAUCGACAACUGAACCAAGUGAAUACUGCACAAGUGUAUGACUUUGCUGGAUAUACUUUCAAUUUUUAAGAUUAGAUUAUAUAACACCCUUACUGCUUGAUUAAUAACUAAUGGACUGUGAUAACUGUCAACCGUGUGGCAGAUUGCAAAAAGUAUCACACCACCCCUUCCCUUCGAUCCACCACGUCCCGAAAGAACCCCCUCCUUCGAUCCAAAUUUUCUGGCUCCUCUCGAUUUAUUUUCCUCUGCACAUGAGGUUGCGGGCUCUCUCCCCGGUUUUCUGGGCUGCUGCACACGCACAAUCAGCAGUUAAAAAAUUAGCCUAACAAGGGGAUCGAACCCACACCCGCCCAUACUAAAUGUAACCACAACAACCACCUAGGCUAACUCCCUUUGCUGAUUCUAAUAAACUUACAUCCUAGUUGAAUCUUCUUGAAAUGAGAUUGCACAAAAAAACAAUUAUUAACUGAAAAAUCCAAAACGGCAGCCUCACUUUCCGGGUUUAAGACUAUGCACCCUAGUUCUAUCAUUUUUUCUGCACAUUUCACACCGGUUCACAGAAAUGAUCAUCCCAUACCCUUCUUUCAGAUGCAUAUUACCACAGUGUUUCGCGUAAGUUAUCAACUAUGUGGGUCAUAUAUUACCAUGCUAUUUACAUAGAAAUUACUGAGGGGUAUUCUUUUAACAACUUUUUUCUCCCCUGGUCAAAUUUAAGGCGGUGUCGUACAUAAGUUAUCAGAUAUGUGUUCGUAUAUUACCGUGCUAUUUUUCACAUAAGUUACCAAGGGUAUUGUUUUUUUUAGUAAUUUUCCCUUUAGUCAAAUUUGGGUAUUGGCUUUUAAUAAUUUUCCCUUUGGUCAAAUUUACCACGGUGUUUCUAAGUAAGUUAUCGGGUAUGCGGUUCAUUCAUUACCGUGUUAUUUUCACAUAAAAUAUCGGGGGUAUAUUUCGUUUUCGANNNNNNNNNNNNNNNNNNNNNNNNNNNNNNNNNNNNNNNNNNNNNNNNNNNNNNNNNNNNNNNNNNNNNNNNNNNNNNNNNNNNNNNNNNNNNNNNNNNNNNNNNNNNNNNNNNNNNNNNNNNNNNNNNNNNNNNNNNNNNNNNNNNNNNNNNNNNNNNNNNNNNNNNNNNNNNNNNNNNNNNNNNNNNNNNNNNNNNNNNNNNNNNNNNNNNNNNNNNNNNNNNNNNNNNNNNNNNNNNNNNNNNNNNNNNNNNNNNNNNNNNNNNNNNNNNNNNNNNNNNNNNNNNNNNNNNNNNNNNNNNNNNNNNNNNNNNNNNNNNNNNNNNNNNNNNNNNNNNNNNNNNNNNNNAGUUCAUACAUUACGGUGUUAUUUUUCACAUAAGUUAUUAGGAGUAUGUUUUUCAACAACUUGUUCUCCUUCUUGGACAGAGUUACCAUGGUGCGUAAGUUAUCAAGUAUGUGGUUCGUAUAUUAUCAUGCUAUUUUUAUACAAGUUAUCGGGGUAUUUUUUUCAAAAACUUUUUUCAACAAAAAAAAUUACUUUUGUAUGUUUCAAGCAAAAAAUUCCCCGGGUCAAAAGUUAACGCAGUGUUCUGAACUUAAGUUAUCACGCCUACGAUGCCUAUAUUACCAUGCUAUUUACACAUCAGUUACAGGGGUAUGUUUUUCAACAACAUUGCUCCACUGGGUGUCAAACUUACCGUGUUUUUAUACCUAAGUUAUCAUGCCUGCAUUACGUAAAUUAUCAUGUUGUUUACACUGAAGGUACGGGAGGCAAAAAAAAAAGGUUUCCCAAUCUUCUCCCAUGCACUAGACAAUGAAGUUAUCAUGUCCGUGGUGUGUUAAAUUACAAUGCUAUUUAGGAAGGAGUUAUCGGUGUAUGUUUCAAAUAUUUUUUUCCCCGAGUUGAAGUUAACAGGGCACGGGGUAUUUUAACUUACCAGCCAUGCGGUGCGAAAUUACCAUGCUAUUUUUGCGGGAAUUACCGGGGUAUGUUCCAGCACCCGGUCAAAAGUUACAGGCCCAGGUAACUUAGCAGCCCCUCAGGCCAUCAUGUAGAAAAACUCCUUGCAAUGAGUUCUUUGAUAAUCACUAGGGUGGAAUUAGUUAUCUACGGGUCGAUUCCAUAAGUUUUUGAUUCACUAACUCCACCAAUGUACAACUACAUGGAUUGAUGAAUCUCAGCACAAGCAUAAUGUAGCUGACCUGGUUAGUGCGGUCAGAGUUUCCCAUUGACCAGGCUAGGUCCUGGUCGAUGCACCAUGUCAGCACCACGAAGGACAUGCCGGGCGCGACCACACCCUGAAUUUAGGUAAAAUCAAUCAAAGCCGAUCAGUGGCAAGCCAUGUUGUGCAUACUGUAGCAGCAAUUCAAAAGCACGAUGGUUGGUUGGUUUCUUAUGGAGUAGAGGAAAGUGAGGAUCUGGAACCUGCUGGAGAUGAUCCAGCCGGCGAGGCUGCAUUACACGCCGAGGCCGACGACAGCGACCUGGAGGAAGCUGAAGGCCACACCUAUGUAGAAGGUGAGCACCAUGGCACCGUCAAGCUGGACGAGUGUGCUGGCGAGCUUGGUGGCACCGAUGGCUGCCCUGAGGUUGAGUGACUCAGAGUGGGUGACUACGACGAGCACGAAGGAACAUUGGGGGAUGGCCAUCCGGCAGCUGGAGAAGCCCCUGUUCAUGAGGCUCCCCGUCGUCUGAUAAGAUAAAGAGAAAUGUGGUUUAUCUGGUUGAAAUAAUACAAGUUAUCGGCCAAAACAAAUACAAGUUAUUGGGCUAACACAUCAUAAAUUAUCAUGCUAAAAUGAAGUUACCAUGCAAAAAAUAGAAUGAGUUAAACAUGGUGACAAGUGUGAAACAUGGUGAUACUUCAUAGUUAUCAAGCUGGCAUAUUAAGUUAUCAGGCUCAGUUUGCAUAAUUAAUCGGGUUGAAAGUAAAGCAGACCGAAUUAAAUAUGCUGACACGGUGUAAUUAUCAGGCUCAAUUUGCAUAAUUAAUCAGUUUGAAAGUAAAAAAAAUGUUAAAAAUUGAUCGCAAAUAUGCUGACACGGUAUAAUUUAUCAGGCUAAAACAAUGUGAACUAUCAGUUAGAAAUUGUUCAAGUUACCAUGUUGAAAAAAUAGAAUGAGUUAAAUAGGCUAACAAAGUGGUUCUUAUCAUGCUGACACACUAGAAUUUAUUUCAGGCUGACAUACUAUAAAUUAUCAAGUUCAAGCUGCAUAAGUCAUCAAGUCGAAGUAAAACAUAAGUGUUGAAACCAGAUAGAGUUAAACAUUUUGGUACAUCACAAGUUAUCAGGCUGACUUAUUAUAAGUUUAUAACUUAACUUAUCAGCUCAAGUUGCUUAAGUUAUCUGGUUAAAGUAAAAAAAACAAGUAUUCAAAGCGGUUUGAGUUAAAAUGCUGGCAUGAUAUAAUUUAUCAAGCUAAAUCAAUAUGAAUUAUCAGGUAGAAACAAUUGAAGUUACUAUGUUGAAAAAUAAAAUGAGUUAAAGAGGUUAGCAAAGUGAGUGUUGUCAUGCUGACACGCUAGAAGUGACCAGGCUGACAUAAUGUAAGUUACCGAGAUGCAUAAGGUUCAUACAUUAGACUUGCUCUGAACAAAAUACUCCUCAUGCCAAGUGGUCCCAAGGCCAAGAACAGAAGGAAACGUGAGUACCUGAAUGGUUAGAUCAAGAUCAAUGGCGCCAUGUUUGUGCUGCUCUCAGAAGGUCUCGAAGCCCUUUCACGAUAUGUAGUUGAACCGGUGCACGUCGAUAUCGAUCUCAAAGUAGUUCAAUCCCUACAUCAUAAUAAGUAGACGUAUGCACAUGUUUCAAUCAGGAUUAGGGUGCGUCAGGAAAUAUAUGAAUUUCGGCAUGUUGAUGAAGAUGUGAGGAAGCAUGAAUGGUCAGUAUAGCUUGUAGAAUUUGUGCUGGGGUAUAGACAACACACUUCUGGUUGUAGGUCUGCACAAGCCUCCCAUCGGAUGCACUAAGCUGCAGGUCUUGGGGUUCACAAUGUCCGCAGAAUUUUUAGCCUCUCUGUGUAGGGCACGUUGUUGUCCACCGGGAACCCCUUGAUCUUCUCCAUUUCCUAAUUCAUAACAUUCUGCAUAACUAAUUACUUACCAGAAACUUGUCUGAGGCACUGAAAAUGUUUAGCUUAUGAAAUGUAAUCAAUUUGGCUCACCUUGAUGAUGUCCUUAAGCUGAGGAUAAAUCUUUGUGUCGAAGUAAUCAUAUAUAUUGACCAGGAUUACGCUUUCACUGUCAUUCUCGCCAAACAUGGUAGUAGAAUAGGUAGGCAAUUGUACAGAUCAGCUAACUUGGUAAGUUUCAGAUCUAACAAAUCAAUACUGCUUGGAUAAGUAGUUCAUAAUGUUCGCAACUCCCACAGGUAAACAUAAUCCAUACAAAACAAGGUGAGCAAUGUGGAGAAAUGUUAGGUGAAACAGAGCUUUCAGAUGGCCGAGGGGACUGACUGACCACACACCGAAUCAGUUCGGCAGAGCCUUGCCGGCACGGUGACCACCACCAGCAGCAGGAGCAACACCGCUCGCCGCGCCCAUUCCCAGUCCAUGACAGACACCGGAUAGAGUCCGCCUCGGCUGGCUAGUCGCCGACGCGUGGUUGGCUAGCGGCGGCAUGCAGGAGGUAGAGGGGGCGACGCACAAUGCCUGGUGUGGGUAGGGGGAGGGGGAGUGUGGGCGGCACGGGGAGACAGAAAUAGGAGCCUCCGUCGGUGGUGGCGCGGUAGUGGGCGAGCGACCAUGGUGGCGCGCGAGCUCGUCGAUGGCUGGGAUGGGGAUCGGAGCGAGGUCGGGGGAGAGAGGGGAGCAAAAUUGGUUUUCUCGUGAGGGUGGGGUUCGAUCUGUUUGGUGUUUUUUUCUGCGUACCGCUUCAAUCACGUGAUGGUGAUCCGACGUCUCCCAGCUGGUGUGGCAGUUUUGCAAACUGUCACAGGGUUGCCAAAUACAUUUUUCAAUAACUAAUUUCACAUGUUGAUAUUAAGAGGAAAAAUGACCCAGGUCCGUCUGGGAGGCUGCGUGGGCUGCGUGGGCUGACCAACUCGUCUCUGUAACUGCGACAAACCUGGACCAGCCCAGUUACAGGUAGCUCGUUUUUUUUCCUGUUUUUCCUUUUACUUCAUUUUAUUUUCAUGUUCAUUUGUUCACUUAUUUGAAAAAAAUGAUUACGUUAUAAAAAAGUUCUCACUAUUUUUAAAUGUUAGUGUAACUUUAUAAGGUAUUUAUAAACAUGUCCAGUUGUACCUUACAAAUGUUCACGUAUAAAAAUUAUAUAACACUAAUAUGUGUCUAAUCAUCACCUAGUUAUCUGUAAAACAUAAAUCCUCACAUUUUUGCACAUAUUUUAAAAAUAGUAAUUGUACUUGGCAAAAGUUCGCUGUAAAGGGGAUGGCAAGCAAACCAUCUUUGUUGGCUGUUUUAGUUGUAAAAACAGAUCAAACGACAGCGGUUCUUAAACGAAAAUUGCCUUCUUAGUGAGAAACUGUCAUGUCUUCUGAAGAAAAUGCCACCUCUCCUCACUUCAUCACAACUAAAAAUGCCACCGAAUCAUUUGCAUGUACCAGCUCCCUGGGCGAAUGUUCGCCAGUUAGAAGGGUCCUUUAAAAAAACAUUAUUUAAAGAAAAUGAAAAUUUAAAAAUUGUGUAAAAAAAUAUCCAAGAUGUAUUAAAAAAAUGUAACAUGUAUCUUUUUUUUAACAUGUACAUAUAAAAAUUUCAAAGUGUAUUUGAAAAAUGUUCAUACAUAAAAAUUUGUGUGUGUUUAUCAGAUUUUUUUUUCAUAUUUCCUUUUAAAAAAUAAUGAGUUGAAAGCCAUUUCCUUUUUAGGGUUCCUAGAGAGAGAUCAGAAGGUGACUUGCAUCCCAUUGAGCCGCUGGCACCGCCAUGGGUUCCCAUGUUCUCUGCCGGCCGAUGCGAUAGCAGGGAGGUUGGGGAACCUCAGAUCAUGUGCCGGUCCGUGUCUUGUAGGGUCUUCGUUGUCGGUGAAGUUGGGGUAUAGGUGGUGAUAGGAAUAAUUAUUUCUUGGCUUUCCCCAUAUCGAUGUCCUUCCUCGGAGUGGCAUCAAGGAGUCGAAGCAUGGUGUUGAUCAUCAGGCAGUUGGUCUGGCGUGUUUGGUGUUUGUUCACGGAAACAUAGUCCUGCGGAGAGGAUGGUGUUGCGGCAUGUUUUUUCUCAAUUUCCAUCUCCGUCCAAUGAAUCUUUGCCAGAUACGACUACAUAAAAGAACUUGUGAGAUUUGUGUCCCCCUCCUCCGUCUGGCUGGGGUUGGGAUUGUUCACUACGGGCGGUGCGCUUGAACAGACCUUCAAGCCAGGGCUUUGGCUGUUCGAAAUUUUUCUUACAUGCAUUUCUAUCUAUGCCUGUUUCACAACAAUGUCAACUGAAUAUAUGAUGUACUCAUGUCAUCCAUGCUUCUUCCACAACGAGGUCAACUGUCCGCAAUGCAUCCGAAGGACACAUCAUCGAGUUUUUUCUAAUGGGCGUCAAGCUUAUUUGUAGCUUUAUAGUUACAGUCUAGUGUCAUAGCAUUACAAUACAUGUUUACAACUACUCCCUCCAUCCGAAAAUACUUGUCAUUGAAAUGGAUGUAUCUAGAUGUAUUUUAGUUCUAGAUACAUCCAUUUUGACGACAAGUAAUUCCGAACGGAGGGAGUAUAAAUAAUGAAACUGCUUACAUCAAGACUUCAAGUGUUCCUGACAUGUCAGACGCGUGUUCCUCACGAUGAUGGCGCACACCCGCCUGUGCUUUUUAAGCAAAGGCGGCGCCGGUACUCCCCGAGAGCCCAGAUGGGGAACAGGUUGCGGUAGUUGGGGUAAUUGAAGAAAAGGGAGCAGUUGAAGCAUCC
rnacentral:lncRNA from 1 species